UGAAGGCUGAAAUUCGCCUUCAUGAAGUCGGAAUUGCUAGUAAUGGCAGGUCAGCAUACUGCCGUGAAUACGUUCCCGGGCCUUGUACACACCGCCCGUCACACCAUGAGAGUUGGAGAUACCCGAAGCCUAUGAGCUUAACUUUUAGAGGCAGUAGUCGAAGGUAGAAUCAAUGAUUGGGGUGAAGUCGUAACAAGGUACC
rnacentral:rRNA from 1 species